GAACACAUCUCCAUCAACUACAUAGCCAUAUUCAUUCUUUAUAAUCUGAGUUAUCAUAUCCUUGAUUUGUUCCAAGUGAUCUGACACACGAGGUUGGUGUGUUGGAGAAAGGCACUGAAGAUCGGCCAUGUCAGAAAGAUAUUCUUGGCAAAAGCGAUCACUUAAUGCAAAUGGAUUCUCCCCACUCUCAUUUGCUCGUCGAAUUAUUUUGUCAUCAACGUCAGUAAAAUUCCGCACAUAAGUAACUUCGUAUCCCAAGUGCUUAAGGUAUCUGUAGAGGACGUCAAAGUUUACGG
rnacentral:misc_RNA from 1 species